AGUUUGAUCAUGGCUCAGAUUGAACGCUGGCGGCAGGCUUAACACAUGCAAGUCGAACGGUAGCAGGAGGAAGCUUGCUUUCUUGCUGACGAGUGGCGGACGGGUGAGUAAUGCUUGGGAAUCUGGCUUAUGGAGGGGGAUAACUACUGGAAACGGUAGCUAAUACCGCGUAAUAUCGUAAGAUUAAAGGGUGGGACUUUCGGGCCACCUGCCAUAAGAUGAGCCCAAGUGGGAUUAGGUAGUUGGUGGGGUAAAGGCCUACCAAGCCUGCGAUCUCUAGCUGGUCUGAGAGGAUGGCCAGCCACACUGGAACUGAGACACGGUCCAGACUCCUACGGGAGGCAGCAGUGGGGAAUAUUGCACAAUGGGGGGAACCCUGAUGCAGCCAUGCCGCGUGAAUGAAGAAGGCCUUCGGGUUGUAAAGUUCUUUCGGUGAUGAGGAAGGUGUUUUGUUUAAUAGACAAGGCAAUUGACGUUAGUCACAGAAGAAGCACCGGCUAA
rnacentral:rRNA from 1 species